rnacentral:lncRNA from 1 species
AAAAUGCAUGUGAUCCCAGGCAUAUUCUCACUGUGUGUGUGGUGUGUGUUGCAGUCUUUGUUUGAGCGGCAGGGCCUGCCUGUUCCUCCAGGGGUUUCCCUGGGUCUGGAGAAAGCCACCAUGCAGCUGCCUCGUGGAAUGUCCCGGACCAAGUCCUUCGGUGCACCAGAGGAUGACAGGAUCUCUGCUCUGAUUGGAGAGCAUCGGUUUCCAAGGAGCUCUUCGAUGACUGAUGGCUUCAUACCUCCUCCUCCCCAGACUGCCCCCCCUCCUCCCCCCUCCCACUACUUCCUGGACUCUGGCCCGCCGCCGGCCUUCUGCCCUCCACCUCCCCCGCAACGAGCAGCCGAUCAAUCACACUCCAGCUUCAAGCCGGGGGCGGAACCUAGGCUGCACGAGGUCUGUGAUUCGCCAACGUCUCGGAGCCAUGCAGAGCGGCAGAGGAAAGCUCGCUCCAUGAUCAUCCUGCAGGACUCACCUGUACCAGGCUAUCUACCUGCAGAGCCUGCCCCCCUAGGCCGACCUGCUGGGGCUACAGCAGGGUUGGGCCUGUCCCGGCCCAGCCCUGCUGCCUCCCCCAGCCCCCUCUCCAGAACCAGCCCUGCCCCCAGCCCCCUCUCCAGAACCAGCCCUGUCCCCAGCCCCAGCCUCCUCUCCAGAACCAGUCCUGCCCCCAGCCCUAACCCUCCAGGGGAGCGCAGCAGCAACAGGAGGCGUGGCCGACCAGUAGAGAACCCGUAUGCCAACGUGGGUCAGCUGCCUGCCCCCCCAGCAAGCCUCAGCGUCGCAAGUCUCCGCUCCUCAAACAGCUGCAGGUGGAGGAGGGGCCUAGUAGGGCAGAGCUAUACCAGCAGCAGGUGCUCACUGAGCGUGCUCAGAUACGGGUCACGCCCCCUCAGGGCCGUAGGUCCUCCUUCUUCCUGUCUGUGGAGGGAGGGGUUUCAGAGCCCCCUCCCAUCCUACUGACCCAGUCCCACUCUGUAGAUGACCUGGGGGAGCUGCCCCCCCCCAUCCCGGUCCUCUCCCCCUCCUCCUCCCCCCACUCCACCUUUCUCCACCCACUGACAGGCAAGCCUCUGGACCCCUCCUCCCCCCUCGCCCUGGCCCUCGCUGCCCGCGAACGAGCCCUCACUGCACGCACUCCCAGCCCUGAACCCAGAACCAAACACGCACACUCACCUAGCCCCGAGCCCAGGCCCAAACACGCACACUCACCUAGCCCCGAGCCCAGGCCCAAACACGCACACUCACCUAGCCCUGAACCCAGGCCCAAACGAACCCCUCCUCCCCUGACCAGCCCUGAGCUCCGACACAAACGUAUCAACCCACCCAUAUUCCUUGACGGACAGUUGGAGCGGCCAGUCGUAGAGCGGCCAGAGACAGAAGGCGGAGUCACAUCUCCUGCUGUGCCCU